UAGGGAAUCUUCCACAAUGGGCGCAAGUCUGAUGGAGCAACGCCGCGUGAGUGAAGAAGGGUUUCGGCUCGUAAAACUCUGUUGUUAAAGAAGAACAUAUCUGAGAGUAACUGUUCAGGUAUUGACGGUAUUUAACCAGAAAGCCACGGCUAACUACGUGCUAG
rnacentral:rRNA from 1 species